rnacentral:misc_RNA from 1 species
GGCCGCCGGCUCCAACAUGCCGUGGGAACAGCCACUCAACCAGAUCCUGCAAUCGGUCGAAGGGCCGGUCGCCAAGAUCAUCGCCGUCAUCAUCAUCAUCGUCACCGGGCUGUCGCUCGCGUUCGGCGACACGUCGGGUGGCUUCCNUCGUGUUUGGCUUGUCGAUCGCCUUUGCCGCCUCGAGCUUUUUUCUGUCGUUCUUCUCGUUCGGCGGUGGAGUGGUGAUCUGAUGGAUCCCGAGAUCCCAGGCUUCGUGACGCCGGUACAUCGC